rnacentral:rRNA from 1 species
CAGCAGCCGCGGGAAUACGAAGGGUGCAAGCGUUAAUCGGAAUUACUGGGCGUAAAGCGCGCGUAGGUGGUUUGUUAAGUUGGAUGUGAAAUCCCCGGGCUCAACCUGGGAACUGCAUCCAAAACUGGCAAGCUAGAGUAUGGUAGAGGGUGGUGGAAUUUCCUGUGUAGCGGUGAAAUGCGUAGAUAUAGGAAGGAACACCAGUGGCGAAGGCGACCACCUGGACUGAUACUGACACUGAGGUGCGAAAGCGUGGGGAGCAAACAGGAUUAGAUACCCCCGUAGUCCCUGUCUCUUAUAC